UCGGGAAUUUUGGGCAAUGGGCGAAAGCCUGACCCAGCAACGCCGCGUGAAGGAUGAAAUCCUUCGGGAUGUAAACUUCGCAAGAAUAGGAAGAAUGAGUAGGGGCUAAUACUCCCUAUGAUGACGGUACUAUUUGUAAGCUCCGGCUAACUCCGUGCCAGCAGCCGCGGUAAUACGGGGGGAGCAAGCGUUGUUCGGAUUUACUGGGCGUAAAGGGCGCGUAGGCGGCCAGCGCAAGUCAGUUGUGAAAUCUCCGGGCUUAACUCGGAAAGGUCAACUGAUACUGCGCGGCUAGAGUGCAGAAGGGGCAACUGGAAUUCUCGGUGUAGCGGUGAAAUGCGUAGAUAUCGAGAGGAACACCUGCGGCGAAGGCGGGUUGCUGGGCUGACACUGACGCUGAGGCGCGAAAGCCAGGGGAGCGAACGGG
rnacentral:rRNA from 1 species